rnacentral:rRNA from 1 species
AUUGAACGCUGGCGGCAUGCCUUACACAUGCAAGUCGAACGGCAGCACGGGUGCUUGCACCUGGUGGCGAGUGGCGAACGGGUGAGUAAUACAUCGGAACAUGUCCUGUAGUGGGGGAUAGCCCGGCGAAAGCCGGAUUAAUACCGCAUACGAUCUACGGAUGAAAGCGGGGGACCUUCGGGCCUCGCGCUAUAGGGUUGGCCGAUGGCUGAUUAGCUAGUUGGUGGGGUAAAGGCCUACCAAGGCGACGAUCAGUAGCUGGUCUGAGAGGACGACCAGCCCAACGGGGACUGAGAAAGGGCCAAGACCCCAAGGGGGGGAAGGAGGGGGAAAUUUUGGAAAAGGGGGGAAAGCCUGACCCAGAAAUGCCGGGGGUGUGAAGAAGGCCUUCGGGUUGAAAAGCAUUUUUGUCCGGAAAAAAAUCCUUGGCCCUAAUACGGCCGGGGGAGGCGGGUACCGGAAAAAAAAGCACCGGAUAACUAAGU